UACAGAGGGUGCAAGCGUUGUUCGGAAUUAUUGGGCGUAAAGGGCGCGUAGGCGGUGCGGCAAGUCACCUGUGAAAUCUCCUGGCUUAACUGGGAGCCUGCAGGCGAAACUGCCGUGCUGGGGUGUGGGAGAGGUGCGUGGAAUUCCCGGUGUAGCGGUGAAAUGCGUAGAUAUCGUGAGGAACACCAGAGGCGAAGGCGGCUACCUGGACAAUUGC
rnacentral:rRNA from 1 species